rnacentral:misc_RNA from 1 species
GUGUAAAGUGAUGUAUAGCUAGGACCUUGUUUGAUAUAGACCUGCCAACGCGCAUCCUUUUGGCUAGGAAGAUCGCCAACACCAUAAUAACAACCGCGAAAGAAAAGGCAAUUUUGAAAAUAGUACCCGGCAUAAGGCUAAAUUAUCAAAUGUAAAGAUAGCUUCAGUAGCAGUUGCCAGCUUCUUAUGCAUAUUAAGGUUUCCUUCCCUUGCUUUCCCCUUAUAUCCAUUAUCAAUCAAUCUUCU